rnacentral:rRNA from 1 species
CCUACGGGGGGCUGCAGUGGGGAAUAUUGGACAAUGGGGGGAACCCUGAUCCAGCCAUGCCGCGUGUGUGAAGAAGGCCCUCGGGUUGUAAAGCACUUUCAGUGAGGAAGAACGCCUGGUGGUUAAUACCCAUCAGGAAAGACAUCACUCACAGAAGAAGCACCGGCUAACUCCGUGCCAGCAGCCGCGGUAAUACGGAGGGUGCGAGCGUUAAUCGGAAUUACUGGGCGUAAAGCGCGCGUAGGUGGCUUGAUAAGCCGGUUGUGAAAGCCCCGGGCUCAACCUGGGAACGGCAUCCGGAACUGUCAAGCUAGAGUGCAGGAGAGGAAGGUAGAAUUCCCGGUGUAGCGGUGAAAUGCGUAGAGAUCGGGAGGAAUACCAGUGGCGAAGGCGGCCUUCUGGACUGACACUGACACUGAGGUGCGAAAGCGUGGGUAGAAAACAGGAUUAGAUACCCUAGUAGUC